rnacentral:rRNA from 1 species
CCUACGGGAGGCAGCAGUGGGGAAUAUUGCGCAAUGGGCGAAAGCCUGACGCAGCGACGCCGCGUGGAGGACGAAGGUCUUCGGAUUGUAAACUCCUGUUAAGUGGGAAGAAAACUCAACCUCUAAUAUAGGUUGGGCAUGACGGUACCACUAGAGAAAGCACUGGCUAACCUCGUGCCAGCAGCCGCGGUAAUACGAGGGGUGCAAACGUUAUUCGGAUUUACUGGGUGUAAAGGGUGUGUAGACGGUCUGUUAAGUUCGUUGUUAAAUUUUCCGGCCUAACUGGAAACUUGCGAUGAAAACUGGCGGUCUUGAGGGUGAAAGAGAGAAGUGGAAUUCUCGGAGUAGCGGUAAAAUGCGUAGAUCUCGAGAGGAACACCGAUGGCGAAAGCAACUUCUUGGUUCACAUCUGACGUUGAAACACGAAAGCGUGGGGAGCA